GGACGCUGCCGAGCCUCGGCCCAGCCGGCCUCCUGUCUGUGGGUGUUUGAGUGCUGAGAGAUGUUAAGUUAAAGGAGUUGUAUUCGUGACGUAUAACCAAUCAAAUCACUCCAGAAGACAGAGCGACCACAGCUUCAUGCCUUCGUCCACCCGGCCUCCGUUGACUCGUCCCGCCUGCCGUCUCUGGAGCUGAAGCUGGACUGGAACAGACCAAAGUACAGUCCAAUCACGAUGCCAGCUGCCUCUCAAAAGGCUCCUUCAUCUGGCAGGUGGCUGCACUUCUUCUGAGGGGAAGCUGAGCUGGCCCGGCAGAACUUUGGAGAUGUGUUCCAGUGGUUGGUGGAUGUCUGGGGAGAUAGAGAG
ensembl:lncRNA